rnacentral:rRNA from 1 species
GACGAACGCUGGCGGCGUGCUUAACACAUGCAAGUCGAACGGAAAGGCCCUGCUUUUGUGGGGUGCUCGAGUGGCGAACGGGUGAGUAACACGUGAGUAACCUGCCCUUGACUUUGGGAUAACUUCAGGAAACUGGGGCUAAUACCGGAUAGGAGCUCCUGCUGCAUGGUGGGGGUUGGAAAGUUUCGGCGGUUGGGGAUGGACUCGCGGCUUAUCAGCUUGUUGGUGGGGUAGUGGCUUACCAAGGCUUUGACGGGUAGCCGGCCUGAGAGGGUGACCGGCCACAUGGGGACUGAGAUACGGCCCAGACUCCUACGGGGGGCAGCAGUGGGGAAUAUUGCACAAUGGGCGGAAGCCUGAUGCAGCAACGCCGCGUGCGGGAUGACGGCCUUCGGUUUGUAAACCGCUUUCGCCUGUGACGAGGCGUGAGUGACGGUAAUGGGUAAAGAAGCACCGGCUAACUACGUG